CCCAAACAAACAAACAAAAAAACUAAAACGAAAAAAAAAAACCAAAGACAACCAAAUAAAUGCAAAUCAGUGGGCUGAGGGCCCAGCAUGAGAAAGAAGCAUGCCCUCAACUACAUGUAUCCAAAAGAAUGGCAACGGCCUGUGCCCACACCCUCACUCAAAGGCACCCACAUCCUCACUCACAGGCUGCCAGCCUGCACCCACACCCUCACUCACAGGCACCCACACCCUCGCUCACAGGCACCCACACCCUCGCUCACAGGCACCCACACCCUCGCUCACAGGCUGCCAGCCUGCACCCACACCCUCACUCGCAGGCGCCCACACCCUCGCUCACAAGCGCCCACACCCUCACAGGCGCCCACAUCCUCAGAGGCACCCACACCCUCACUCACAGGAACCCACACCCUCACUCACAGGCUGCCAGCCUGCACCCACACCCUCACUCGCAGGCGCCCACACCCUCGCAGGCGCCCACAUCCUCACUCACAGGCGCCUACACCCUCACUCACAGGUGCCCACACCCUGACUCACAGGCACCCACACCCUGACUCACAGGCACCCACACCCUCACAGGUGCCUACACCCUCAUUCACAGGCGCCCACACCCUCACUCACAGGCACCCACACCCUCGCAGGCGCCCACAUCCUCACUCACAGGCACCCACACCCUCGCAGGCGCCCACAUCCUCACUCACAGGCACCUACACCCUCACUCACAGGCACUCACACUGUCACAGGCGCCUACACUCUCACAGGCCGCUCACACCCUCACAGGCACCUACACCCUCACUCACAGGCCGCCCACACCCUCACAGGUGCCCACACCCUCACUCACAGGCGCCCACACCCUCACUCACAGGGGCCCACACCCUCACUCACAGGCGCCCACAUCCUCACUCACAGGCUGCCAGCCUGCACCCACACCCUCACUCACAGGCCGCCCAAACACCACGGCUCCAGGGUGC